UUCUUGAGCUUGCCUGCACAGCUUGGUAGAAGUGGAGUUUUGGGCGUGACGAAUGUGCAUCUUACUGAUGAAGAAAUUGAGCAACUUAGGAACUCUGCUAAGACUAUUUUGGAAGUGCAGAGUCAGUUGGGAAUUUGAAAAAAUAGCACUAGCAACUGAUCAGUUACUAUACAACUAUGUUGUUUCUUACCAUACAGUUUGUUGAAUUUUGUUUUGUUUGUAAUAUUCUUAUAGCAGUUAGUCAUAUGACAUAUUGGCUACCUGCUAGCUAGUGCUCUGUGGUGCUAACUUUGAAAUAAAUUGUAACAGAGCCUCUUAUGCCACUUU
rnacentral:lncRNA from 1 species